GGGGGCGACAUGGCUUCGACGUGGGUGUUGAAACCAGACGUGCAUGCCGAGGGACAGAUCACCUCGUUAAAACAGCUGUAAACCUUAUAGUUGCCAACGACGACAACUACGCAUUAGCUGCUUAAAAACCAGUGUAAUGCCAUCGGCCCGGCAUGUGUCUGUGCGUUCGGUCACCGGUGUUAUCUACACAGAAUCGCGUGAGGGCAUGUUUGGGGCCUGAGCGUUAAAACCUUUACUAAACUGGCUAGCGGCCUACCCCGUCUGUCGGGUUACCGUUAGUAAGAUUAAUGACAGAAUAAGCAUGUAGAGCGUUUGGCGGAUAGCUUGCGGACGCGGGUUCGAUUCCCGCCGCCUCCACCA
rnacentral:tmRNA from 1 species